GCUCCAUUCGGCAGCGCUUGUACUAAAGUCGAAACAUACAGGGAAGAUUAGCAUGGCCCCUGUACAAGGAUGGCACGCAAAUUCACGAAGUGUUCCAUAGUUUA